rnacentral:piRNA from 1 species
UUACUUCCUGAAGGCCACAGAACAGGCAA